rnacentral:rRNA from 1 species
GCCCGUCGCUCCUACCGAUUGGAUGACUCGGUGAAAUCACCGGAUGCUUACGAGCAGAAAGUGAUUAAAUCACGUUAUAUAGAGGAAGGAGAAGUCGUAACAAGGUAACGGUAGGUGAACCUGCCGUUGGAUCAGUUCUAGUUUUAAUAACUAACACCAACUUCUUUUAUUAAACAAAAACCAAUACAAAAUUAAAAACUAACUUCAUCAAAAACCAAGUCUCUAAGCAAUGGAUGUCUUGGCUCCUCACACGAUGAAGAACGUGGCAUAAUGUGUUAAGUAACCGGAGUUGCAAACAUCAUGACAGGUUAAUCUUUGAA